rnacentral:lncRNA from 1 species
CCUCUUGUAUCAUUCCAACCAUAUCAUCUUCCGUAUCAAAAAAAUCUCUACUUUCACAGUCUUGGUUAGACCUAGUAGAAUAGUACGUCUCUCCAUGAUAAGUCCAAAUCUUAUAUGUCGUCAAGAAACCUUUUGUAAUAAUAUGUUGUUUCACUACAUGUCGGUCCUCAAGAAAAUGAUUUUUACUCUUCUUACACGGACAAUAAAUC